rfam:Burkholderia phymatum STM815 plasmid pBPHY02, complete sequence.
CCCGUGUACGACCAGCGGUAGCCUAGGAAGGCAUCGGAAGCUGGAACGGCUUUCGGUGAAGCCCUUCGGAAAGCCGUAGUCCGAAAGCGUGUGCCGUCGCGAGGCGGCAUAUGGAGGCUCCAAGCAGCGACAGGGCCAAGACG